ACCUCGAUUUGGUUAAAGAGAUACUCAGGUCUCUCUAUUCAAAAUGAGGAUUCAGCGAGGAGAGUAGCUGCAAGUGUCAUAACAGAUAGAAGCGGCUCGUAGUACGCACGGCCAACGUUUUCUCCAGGCAUUAUUAUUAUCAGCUGAAUUUAUGACCGAAGAAUAGACAGAUAAAUUCAAGUCUUUGGGAGUAUUGAAAGAGAUAAAGAAGAAUACUAGGAAACAGGCUGACAUUUAUUGUGGAAAAAACAGCAGGAGAAUUCUUAGUGAAAGCGCCCAGAUCAAAAUUAAGAAGAAGAAAAAUCAAAAGUGAAACCCUAUGUGGAAUUAAAAUAUUAAGAAGGAAAACUCCAACAGCUGAGGAAUAUAUGUGAUAAAAUAUAACAUACCAUUUAUUUUAGUUUUAUACCCAUUGCUACCUCUGAAAAAAAUCAGAACCAAAUAACUACAACAUUUAUGAGAAGUCUUCUUUAUUUAUCAUUUAUUGAGUUAAGUGUAUUAAUCCCAGAAGCCAACCUGAAAAGGUGACUGUACUUAAAAAAAUUGUCUUUCAUCAGUCAACUUUAUCAGUUGUAUGUUUUGUAAGAAAAACUUAAAAAACAACUCAGCAUGAAGGAAAAAGAGCAUAAAAAUCCCAACAGUAUAGAACUGAUGGGUUACAUACCAGCACAACCCCAGUCAGAUUCAAAUGGA